GGAGAGAUGGCUGAGUGGCUUAAAGCAUCGGUCUUGAAAACCGGCGGGGGUUUAUAGCCCUCCUAGGGUUCAAAUCCCUAUCUCUCCG
rnacentral:tRNA from 1 species